AUUGAACGCUGGCGGCAUGCCUUACACAUGCAAGUCGAACGGCAGCACGGAGCUUGCUCUGGUGGCGAGUGGCGAACGGGUGAGUAAUAUAUCGGAACGUACCCAAGAGUGGGGGAUAACGUAGCGAAAGUUACGCUAAUACCGCAUACGAUCUAAGGAUGAAAGCAGGGGAUCGCAAGACCUUGUGCUCCUGGAGCGGCCGAUAUCUGAUUAGCUAGUUGGUGAGGUAAAGGCUCACCAAGGCAUCGAUCAGUAGCUGGUCUGAGAGGACGACCAGCCACACUGGAACUGAGACACGGUCCAGACUCCUACGGGAGGCAGCAGUGGGGAAUUUUGGACAAUGGGGGCAACCCUGAUCCAGCAAUGCCGCGUGAGUGAAGAGGGCCUUCGGGUUGUAAAGCUCUUUUGUCAGGGAAGAAACGGUGAAGGCUAAUAUCCUUUGCUAAUGACGGUACCUGAAGAAUAAGCACCGGCUAACUACGUGCCAGCAGCCGCGGUAAAAC
rnacentral:rRNA from 1 species